rnacentral:rRNA from 11 species
GAGUACAGUCUUGAAAAGUCUUGAAAUAUCUUAAAGCCUGAAAUCCUGUCACAUUUUGAAGCUAAGCAGGCUCAGCCCUGGUAAGUAUUUGGAUGGGAGACUGCCAGCAAAUCCCAGGUGCUGCAUACU